CUAUAUGGGAGCAUUGUGGAGAAUGCUGCUUAUGCUGGAUGUGAACCAAAGGGAAAGACAAUCUGUUGUAUGGUCCUAUGCAAGUAUGAUUACGUAACGGUAUAUGUAUAGUGUGCGUUAAUUAUGUCAAUAUAUCAAGUAAGUUCAUACGAUCUGCCAGUUUAACAGUUCAUAUAAGCACAUGCACGUACGUACAUACCAACACUUAAUUAAGUAGCACCGUAGCACACCAAGUGCUAGUUACACAAACAUGCACUGGAAGCGAUCACAUAUGGACUUCGCAUAGUUCUUACUCUAUAUGCAACAAGACACUAUAAGUAUUCAUUUGGGAAAUACUAUACCUACUCAAGCUGUACGAAGCUGUAAGAAGCUGUAAGAAGCUGCAAGGAUGACUUCCACAGCUGUUUGAGUGAUGUUAGUGUGUAUACUACAAACAUCUCAAGUCCUAUACCAAGGAAAUAAUGCAUGCCAAGAGCCCCAGGCCCUCAUUACUGGUGAGAAGUACAGAGUGGAGGAUGAACAGUUCACGGCCAGUUCAAGCUUCUCCCAAAAUUACCGUCCCCACGAGGCUAGGCUGGGGGGAAACUCAUGGUGCGCACGAGGUGGUGAUACGGGAAGCUGGAUUCAAGUAGAUUUCGGAGUAGAUGUCAUGAUUCAAGAGUUACAGAUAGAGGGAGAUGAAGGAAACGGUCAAUUUUACGUCACUUAGUUCACAAUAGAGCAUGGUCCUAACAGUAGCCAGUUGAGCACCAUUCUCCAAGCUAAUUUCAUUCAACCAAUGGUCUUCACUAGACCAGACUCUCCCAGUGUCAGCACGACAGUCCUGCCCACACCCCUCACCACUCGAGUAUUGAGGAUUGUCAGUGUGGUCCAUUCUGGAGACGAGCCUUGUUUGGACAUGGAGGCAAUCGGCUGUGUCCUAUCUCCAGACACCACACAAAAUAUAUCAACAACCCCCCCCGGCCCCCCAACAAACAGAGGAUGCUAUGACAGCCAGUGCUGAGAACACAGGAGCUAUUGUGGGAGGGGCAGUGGGUGGAGCUACCUUCGUAUUUGUGAUCUUACUUGUCACUAUCAUCAUACUAGUUGUGUGCCUACUAGUUAAAAAGAAUAAGGGGAGAAAUAUCAGGACAGAGGCCAUGCACGCCAGGAUCCAAUACUGUGGAGAUUGCCGAAAAUGAGACAAAUUCAGAAGAGACCUGGUCUCCCAAUACCCUAGAAAACAUGGGUGAAGUUUACUCAGAACCUACGGAAAUAGUCUACGAGCCAAUUGCAAUUACAACUUUAAAUCCACCCAACACGUAUGAGAUCCCUGACCUUGAAUAUGUACAAGUAGGUACCAUGAAAGGUGGCUAUGGCAAUGCGGAGGAGAGGGAUGGUGACAUAACUCAGAACGUAGCUUAUGAAAGAUUAGUGGAGAAUGGAGCUACUAAUCUACCAGAGACAGAAGAUGGAUACGAACUUGUGUGAUUGUGAUUGUGACAUGUGCUCUCAAGUUGAACAUAACGAGAUAAUUAUAUAAU